UGGCUUAUCAGCGGCCAAAUGUGGAUCUUUUCAAUCAGUUUAGCUCAUACUGUUAUUCCAGGCGGGUCGUUGUGAUUCUAUUAAGAACAAUAGGUCCGAGCGAAGUGUAUGAAUCCUCCACAUAUUCAGUCGAGUAUUGUUAAGUGUUUGACGCUCCAAAGUAAAAUCUUUCCUCGUUAUAAGCACAUCCGUUUAAUUGCAAAAUGAAGCGUUCUAUAUCAAUGCCCGUGAAACCUCGAUACAUCGAAGAUCUACCCCCUCUUGAACGAUCAGAGGAACGAGAGGAGCUUUUCCACAACGAGAACUUCUGCAGCAAACGCACGUUACCGUCGAACGGAGGAUGCUACAAUCCCUAUGAAAUUAUCGAAGAGGAUCAACAUUUCAUCGCUCAGAAAGAACUAAUUGAUUUCAGCGAAAACUGGAAAAGACAAAAAAGUCGCGAGGUCUACACCGCUAGAGUGAUAGCUCAAUCAGGUCACCAUAACGUAUCAUUUUUCAAAAUUCCUGGUAGAUCCUGGCAAUAUUUUAAGGAUUUGAUCACUACUUUGAUUGAGCAGGAAUGGCCCUACACAUUUUUUAUAUUCCUGUCCACGUUCUUCAUCACGUGGAUGGUUUUCACUUGCCUUUGGUAUUUAAUCGCCUACGCGCAUGGUGAUCUUAACUACGAUGAACAAAGUGGCGAAAGCUUGAUGGAAGGCCAGCAGCCCUGCGUAAUCGGCGCUCAAAGUCUCACUGCUCUAUUUAUCUACACAGUGGAGACUCAAGUAUCCAUCGGGUUCGGCGAAAAAUAUCCAAGUGACGAAUGCCCUGAAGGAGUUUUCCUAUUCGUUUCACAACUUAUAGUGUAUAUAGGCAUUGAAGGAGCCAUGGUGGGAAUAGUAUACGCAAAAGUUGCACGACCAUCGAAACAAGUUUCCGAGCCCAAAUUCAGCAGAAAAGCCGUUAUUUGCCAACGUGACGGAAAUAUCUGCCUGGUAAUAAGAGUUUGUGAUCAAAAAGGACAACAAGCUAUCGGAACUAAAAUCAGGGUAUUUUUACUAGAAGAUAGAAGAUCGCAAGAAGGUGAAUACCUCGGAAAAUGUUUAAAUGAAUUGAAAAUUGAAGACAGUGGAACUCCGUUUAUAUUAUGGCCUACUACAAUUUGUCAUUUCAUUGAUAGAAGAAGUCCCUUCUACAAAUAUAUCUGUGAAGAUUAUACUAAUAAAGAAUUUGAAGUUAUAGUUUCAUUAACAGGUAGUUCGCCAUCUUCUGGGCAAAUCACCGAAUCCAGGACAUCGUAUUUACCAAAAGAAAUUACCUGGGGCGAAUGCUUCGUCAAUAUCAUUCAUUAUAAUGCAUCGAAAAAUGUGUAUACAAUCGAUUACGAAAACUUCAACGCAACUGUCCCGGUUCAACCGUUUCCGAGUAAAUUGGAUGUGACAGACAGACAGGCAUUAUGUUUCACAAAGUUCUAGCAAUCUAAUUACAUGAGCAGUUACAGAAGCCAACAAUCCCUCUGCUACCUCAAUUAUAGGGUAAAUCCGGUUAAACGCACGCAUGGAAAUACGUCGCAAAUCGGUAUAUUUUAAUGACUUGUAAAUUUCCCUGACAUGCAAAUAAUAGCAAUGGAUAACUUACAGGAAACCAUGUCAGGAGCUAUGUGCCAAUGGUGUCUUUAACAGAAUUCGUCUUUGAGAGAUCCUCCAAAACGCAACCACCUACGAAGCACUUUAGACUCAGUCAAUAUAAAACGCAUGAAAUAUGAUGUAUAUUAUAAAAUGGCCACCUGCCGCUAG